AUGUGAAAAGCGCACGUAUAAAAAGGCAAUAUUUGGUUGGAAUAAAAUGUCAAAGCAAGUCCACCAGUAUCACAAAAAACACUGCAGAAAAAUUAGCGCAAUAAAUAUUUGUUGAUUUCUAGCAAUAAUGGAUACCGAUACCUAUAAGAUUGUGUUGCUCAUCGGAGCUUAAAUUUGAGUUGAUUUAACACGCUGAAGAUGCCUCCCUGAAGAGUUCCUGAAAUCUUCCCGGAACAAAUGCGUUAAACCCAUUUUACUUAAAUUACGACAAGGAUAACUUUAGUGUUAGUUACGUGAAUGGAUAUGGCCAAAGUUGCAGGGAAAACGGAGGCUACAAUGGAUUCCGCUAGUUUAAUUCUGCGUUGCAUAACAGCAACUGUAAAAACAAUUUGUAUCCACUUAAUCCUAUAAUGUGCUUCACAAUAAAUAUCUAUUAUAGCAAAUACAAACCUGGUGCAUUCACUUAAGAACUUA